CUCUCAAUUUAUCCAAACAGGAUGUAAAUAUAAAGAAAGUGAGAAUGUGUAGGAACGAUUUUAGAGAGACCUAAUUCGUUUGGUAAAAUAUAAAAUAUUUUUGUAAAUAUAAAGUGCUCCGUUACCAUUGCCAAUUGGAUCACUUCAUACUUAUUUAAAGCUUUCUCUCUCUAAAAAUCUUUCUUUCUCUUUGCUUUUCUCCUUCUCUCUUAAAAGCGUACAACUUACAAAAUCAAUUAGACUUCACAUUACGUAGGAAUAUAAUAUCUCACAGCUUGACAGGAAAGACGUGCUUUUUCCACUCUCUCCUUUUGUUGCUUUCUGUCUAUCUUGUCUCAGUGUCUUUCUUUAGCUCUCUUUUUCUUUUCUUUCCUUUUCUCUUUUUCUUUUGUUUUCUUUUUUCUUUCUUUUCUCUGAUUUUCCUGAUUCUCUUCAACAGUCCCCUCAGAGGUAUAAUGAUUUCAAAAUGAUAGUACACCGUGGGUUAACUUAUCAAUGUGGCCUGCCCAAGGUGAACUCCAAAUUAGGCUUCUUGGGGCUCGUCCCUGAAAGGGUUGAUGAGCUUACAUCUGAUAUUCUUUCAUAAAUUGAGCAAUUUGGAUCCGCGUCCUUGUGCUGUUGAAAAUAAAAUAAAUACUAAAUCAUUAAUGAUCAUAUAUACAAGGAAAAGAAACAGGAAAGGGCAAUCAAUAACCCUCAACAGCAGCACACGGGUAGCGUGUGAACGUGGGAAUCAAAAAGGACAUUUUGACGAGGGAAUAAUAGAAUAUUUAUCAAGAGAAAAGAAACAUUUGCUAGGAGGAGAGAGAGUACAUUUUGAAAGCCGGCUAAAAUGUGUCCAGUGCAGGUGCAGCUCCCUAGCUCAUACAAUUAUUCAUCAGCAUUAUUUUAUGACACUUUAAUAUUGACCUCAAACAUAAUGGGACUCUGGUUUUAGGUGAUAGGAUGCAGAUUAAUAUUGCAGACAGAAAUUAAACCCUUCUUUUAGAAAAAUUGGAAUUUAUUUUUUGAAGCUUUCCACAUCAAAAGAACACUUUUCUCCGCUGCUUAGGGUCUUCCAAAAUACAAAAUUGCCCCUAGAAUUCAUUCAAUGACCUAAAAAAAAGAGCUUUUGAAAGGUCUCUGCCUUUCUUCUUUCUUCCUAAUUUGCAUGACUUAAUGAAGAAAGAUUGAAAAAUAAGGCAUCUGCUUUUCUUCAAUCAUUCCAACAAACAUCUCCGCAUGGAGAAUAAAUUUUUCAAACUGAAGGACAAUUUGGGAAACAAAGAUUUGAGAUUUGGUACCUUAAGCGAUGGUAAGUUUCCACAAGAAUCCUUUGAUUUCACAUGCAACCAAUCUUCCCUGCUACAAAACAACAGAUUGAGAGAAUAUUUCCUAUCAGUGUAAGCCAUGCAGAAGAAAAAGCAAACUGAGAUAAGAAAGCUAUCUUUUACUGCCUUGUUUAUAGUUCCUUCACGUUACAUUUUAACUCACCCCAUGUGAUAGCCCAUUACCCAGAACAACAGAUUACAAGGAAGUUUCAAGGGGCAUAAAGCUUUGGCACCAAGAUUUCCACUAAUGGGACCAUCACAGGUGUUUAUCUUUGACACUAAGUUUUCCAAUUGUAGGUCCCAUUGAAUAGCUCUAAAUUAUCUGAGCCCACAAAAUCCAAAGGAAAGAGAGAUCUCCAUUUUUAUGCGUGGAUAUUUGUCUAAUGAGAUUCUCAUCAUGCCUUGGAAUGGUAGGAGAGAGUGGAUGUUUACUUCCUUUUCACCUACAACUAGAGCAAGAGUAUAAUUACCCCAUCAUUUGGAGCUUCAGUCUUCAUGGUCAUCAACGGACAGAACAAAGCAGUGAAACCAUUUCUUCCAUUAUUCUUUUUUUGGUUUCUAGCAUGUAACUGUGUCGUAUGUGGUUGGUGUGGAGAGAGAUGGUCUAUUCAUAUAUAUGUAGAGAAAGAGAAAGAGAAAGAGAAUAUUUUGUUUUGCUUUAAAGUAAUUAAUCCAACGUGCUAUAGUUUCACCUUAUAAAUCACGUAUAUAUAGUAAUGCACGAAGACCAAGGGUGGACUCAUUUGAUGAAAAAGAGAAAUGACAAACAAGAAAAGAAAACCCAUGACAGGGAUGAUAAGGUAGCAAGAUUUACCCAUCAUGCAUGCUUUCUCUUCUGUUUUGUCCUUAACAUAGAAGAUAAAGUCUCAAGCACAAAACUUCGUAAUUGAAGCAUAGUUGGCUAAAAUGUGCUUCUUCAGAGUCAGAGAUAAAAUGGACUAUCCAAAAACCAAUGACUUGGUUAAUUUAGUCCAUAUUAUCUAUUGGUAUAAUGCAGAGAGAGUUAAUUUUAGUGGGUUGUCAAGACUAUGAUAAAUUAAAAGAAAACUAGGGACCAUGUAUCUAUUAGGCAUAUCUGUUGCUUGCAUAUUCCAUUUUUUUUUAUUUCUAAUUGUUGUACAAGUAUUUCACCUUGACGAAUUGCUCCAGAGGCCAUGAUAAUCCUUGUCCUGGUGACCACUUGGUUUUCCUUGUUGCAUUGAUAGUUCAGACCUUGAGUUUUGGAUUUCAAACAUCAAAUCUUCAGAAGUAUCUCCUGAUGAUCCAUUAUCGAAUACGUCUGAUUGUCCUGAUGAAGCUGCUGCUCGAUCCGUUGUCUUUACAGUCCGAUACAUCUGCAGUAACAUUUCCAGAAACAUUUUCACUUUGUCGACUACAUUAGCAGUAUCUCAUUGACAUUAGGGUACAAUUGAAAUAGCAAUUAGAAUCACCCCACAAAAAAAAAAUGCAGACUAUGAUAAGAGCAGGAAAAUGAGUGGUGUGUGUAAUUACGAACAGAAGCAGUGAUACUGCAUAGAUGGUCUGAUGCAGUGACAGUACGAACUGUAAAAAGUGAGUGAUGUGUGUGUAACUACAAACAGAAGCAUUAAUGCUUAAAUAAAUGGAUACAUAUAUUUUUUAUUUGUAUGCAAUUAUCAAUGUAUAUGACUAACCAUGGUUAAGAAUGUAUGGUUGAUAAACCCAUCUGAGAAAGAUAUCAUUGAGAAAUGAUGGUGUUCUGUACUAUUUUUUAAAAAAAAUUUAUUGCCUUCUGUGUAAUAGAAAAUGUUUUUAAAAGAAAAAUAAUUGGACUGAGUGUAAGCUUGUCUUGGCUUGGCUAUGACAUUUUGAAUUCCUCGGGCUUUGUCUUACAUCUCUAUCUCUCUCUCUCUCUCUCACAAUUACCUUUCUUGAUCUGGGCCUCAACAAACGUUUCUUUCUGACGUCUAAUUUUUCCUAUGUGAAUCUCUGCUGCUAAACCAUGGAACACCAACAACAAUCAUCAAAUGCUCCAAGAGGCUUUAGAGUUCAAGCUCCGCUAGUUGAUUCUGUAUCAUGUUAUUGCAAAGUGGACUCUGGACUAAAAACAGUUGCUGAGGCGAGGAAGUUUGUCCGUGGAUCAAAACUUUGCAUCCAGCCUGACAUAAAUCCUAAUGCACACAAAAGUAAAAGUUUGCGCAGGGAGAGGACGCGAGUGCAGCCACCACUCCUGCCUGGCCUUCCUGAUGAUCUUGCCAUUGCAUGUCUGAUUCGAGUGCCCCGAGCUGAACAUCGAAAACUUCGUUUAGUUUGUAAGAGAUGGUACCGCCUACUGGCUGGAAAUUUUUUCUAUUCUCUUAGGAAAAGUAUAGGAAUGGCUGAGGAGUGGGUUUAUGUGAUCAAGCGAGAUCGUGAUGGAAAGAUCUCAUGGAAUGCUUUUGAUCCUGUCUAUCAGCUAUGGCAGCCACUUCCACCUGUUCCCCGGGAAUAUUCUGAAGCCCUUGGUUUUGGCUGUGCUGUUCUAAGUGGUUGCCACCUAUAUUUAUUUGGAGGGAAGGAUCCACUCAGAGGGUCCAUGAGACGGGUCAUUUUCUACAGUGCCCGGACUAACAAAUGGCAUAGGGCACCAGACAUGCUUCGUAAACGUCAUUUCUUUGGCUCAUGUGUUAUAAAUAACUGCCUAUAUGUAGCUGGUGGAGAAUGUGAAGGAAUCCAAAGGACUCUGCGUUCAGCUGAAGUUUAUGACCCUAACAAGAACCGGUGGAGCUUUAUUUCAGAUAUGAGCACAGCUAUGGUGCCAUUUAUUGGUGUAGUUUAUGAUGGAAAGUGGUUUCUAAAAGGCCUUGGGUCCCACCGAGAGGUCUUGAGUGAAGCCUAUGAACCUGAAACUAAUAGCUGGACCCCAGUAAGUGAUGGGAUGGUUGCUGGUUGGCGUAAUCCUAGCAUCUCUUUAAAUGGACAGCUCUAUGCUUUGGAUUGCAGGGAUGGCUGCAAGCUUAGGGUUUAUGAUGGAGCCUCAGAUUCGUGGAACAAGUUUAUAGAUAGCAAGCUCCAUCUAGGGAGCUCUCACGCUUUGGAGGCUGCUGCUCUUGUUCCCCUCAAUGGGAAGCUUUGCAUUGUGCGUAACAACAUGAGCAUUAGUCUGGUUGAUGUUUCCAGUCCUGACAAACAUGUAGAGAGUAACCCUCACCUUUGGGAGAAUAUAGCUGGCAAAGGUCAUUUCAGGACUCUUGUAACAAAUAUAUGGUCAAGUAUUGCUGGUCGAGGUGGUUUGAAAAGUCACAUUGUCCACUGCCAGGUGCUUCAAGCAUGAAGACCAGACCCAUUUUGGAUUUGCUUGCCAUAGACAUUCCUGCAUUUUCAUCAAUUUGUUAUGAUAGGUUCAUCACAUUUGCAGUUCACUGAUACUAGAUUUUGCUGUUCCCAAACCAAAAGGUGGUGUAUACUGUGUUGAUGUUCUGCUGUUUAUACUUUUGUUGAUGUUGAAUCAACGUUUAUGUGCCCUGGGAUUGGGUUUGAUGUUCACACAUGAAACUUGAAGAAAUGAAAAUGAUGAUUUUGCUUGUGCAUGAAUUUGAAAUUCAAGGAGGAAUAUGGAUGAAGAGGAAUCUUUGUCCAAUUCUAGAUUGAAACAGGAAGCAGUGAUGCUUUACCUGCUACACUGGCAGCUGCAAGGCGAGAACAAUUCACUGUUGAUUUUGGUAAUAGAUGAGGUCAUUUCUUUACAUCUUUGAACAGAGAGCAGAUACAUGUAAAUCUUGGUUAUUUGGUCUAGCGCCAAGUGCCUUUUGUUGUGGGACAUUUUCUUAGUAGCAUGUAAUUUUUGAAAUGUUUUGUGUAUGUAAAUGGGGUUAUUUAAAAUGAAUCAGUGUAUACUUAGAUUAGACCUCAAUUGCAGUGAAUCAACUGUUUUAUCCAUUUAUUCUGUAAGCCAGGAGCAUGCUGAUCUGCUUUGCACAUUGCUAGCCUUCUGGAAAACAAUUGAUCUGGAAAUUAAACAGUUGAGGUUUUUUUAAAAUAUUUUUU
rnacentral:misc_RNA from 1 species